rnacentral:lncRNA from 1 species
AAUUACUCUUUUUUUUCUCUUUCGAAAAUAAUAAGUUAGUAAUUCCGUGGACACACUUAAUUGAAAGUAAGAGGAAGCCCGUAUAGAACAACACAAAGAUAAAGAAGCUAAUCAGGGCAUAUUCAUUAGGGUAGAGCGGUUAAGUACAUGUUAUGUGGUUGUAAACUCUCGCAAAUACCCGAGUGACUGAACUUGACAAUGGAGCAUGAUUUUGCAAACAACGUGGAGAGGAACCGUGCACUUAACCUUUCCGUUGUGCGGCCACCGGAGCCUCUGCAAACCGCUGACAUCCCAGGGCACCAGGCAGGGUGCCUAAACCCCCUCAGGUUCAAACUCAUUGGUCAGUGUCACAGUAAUCGUUUCUCUGCUUACUGUGCAUUCCAGGGGUAUCUCAGAAAGAUGUAUUUUAUUUUAUUAUUUUAUUUUAUUUUAUUUUAUAUUUUAUUUUAAUUUUAUUUUUGAGACAGAGAGAGAGACGGUGAACGAGGGGCAAAGAGAGAGAAGGGGAGAGAGAGGGAGACAGAGAGUGGAGCCGGAAACGGGGCUCGAGCUCACCCGAUGUGGGGCUUGAACUCAUGAACUGCGAGGCCACCAUCUGAGCCGAAGUCGGAUGCUUCACCGACUGAGCCACCCGGGUGCUCCCGAAAGAUGAUUUUUUAACUUUUGCUGUAAUUUGAUUUUUUGUCACGGAAAUGAUCAAACAUAACCUAAGGUAGAAUCAGGGGGGGGGAGGAAGGUCAAGGCAUUUGUGCUGAGGUAACAUUUAGCUGGGUGGCCUCUGGAAUCACAACCCCCUUGGCUGUCGGAGCUGGAGGCCCCCUUAGCUGCCACCCGGUGUCCCCUCACGGGACAGAGGAAGAAGCCGAGGCCCGGGAGGGGACCCAUCUUGCUCGAAGCCAUGCAUCGAAUGCGUCAGCGACCGGUGAGAACCCGGGGUCCCCGGCUGUUUCCUGUCUGGCGUCCAGCUGUGUCUAGAGAGUUCCUGCUGCAUACACAGUGCUACCAGGGACUUGACUGACUACUGCGGGGGGCAGAGGGGACACCGGUACCCCGAGAGGGGUGGGAGGUUCCUUGGUGCAGCGUCUCCAGCUGCCUGCCCCCCUGGGAGUGGCUGGGGGGCCCCGAGCCCUGCCCCCGACCCGGGCAUCCCCCGGGAGCACCCCCGGUGAGGCUGAGGGUUUUCCCGGACCAGCAGAUCCCUGCCAAGCANGUCUGGCGUCCAGCUGUGUCUAGAGAGUUCCUGCUGCAUACACAGUGCUACCAGGGACUUGACUGACUACUGCGUGGGGCACAGGGGACACCGGUACCCCGAGAGGGGUGGGAGGUUCCUUGGUGCAGCGUCUCCAGCUGCCUGUCCCCCUGGGAGUGGCUUGGGGGCCCCGAGCCCUGCCUCCGACCCGGGCAUCCCCCGGGAGCACCCCCAGUGAGGCUGAGGGUUUUCCCGGACCAGCAGAUCCCUGCCAAGCAAGUCCCCCUGCGAAGCCAGCACUGGUCGUUCUCUCUCUCGCACAAACACACCCUCUGUGUUGCUUUUCCCUUGAAUUCUAUUCUCCCUCCUCUCUCCUCCUCCUUUUCAUCCCCACACACCCGGCUCCCCAUCCCUUCCCUCCCCGUUUCCCUCCUUUUUGCUCAUAAAUUCUCCCCCUGGGGCUUUUUGCCAAGGGGUUGAAUAAACAGGAAGGGAAACAGGGAAUAAAUCACGGCUGAGUCUCGACAGGCUCUGGGAAGGUCUCUGACUCUGGAGACCGUCACAAGGGACCCAGGAGGUCUCUGCCUUGGGAACCGCAGCCCGUGUCUGGAGGGCCUGGGGGGCUGUGGAGAAGGGGCUGGUGGGCGGGGGGGGACAGUGCUAUCUGGGGUCAGCGGCGGGCUUGUGAUCGACCCCACAGCCCUGAGAGUGGGGGAGGAUAGAGCCCAGGCUGGGAGUCUGGUUCUGCUGUGUGACUCUGGGCAAAUGUCCUCCCCUCUCUGAGCCUCAACCACCCCAUCUGGGAGGAGGGGCGGGAUUAGAUGAACAGGAGGGAUCCUUCCAGCCCCACAGCUUCCUGGGCUCCCCGGACGGGGGAGCUCAUGGAGACCCUUGGCUCCCCCCCCCCCCCGGGGGCUUCAGUCAGAACACUUAGCUGCCCCAGGACAUCCUUGGGGGGGGAUGAGGGUUGGAGGAGGUGGCCCCAACUGGAGGCCCUCAGCCGGAAGCUGGCUCUGGCUGGAACCUCCACCCCACGGCCUCCUCUGGCCCUCCAGGUGAGCUGGGACACCACGAGCCUAGGCUGGGAGCAGAAGUUUUGGCUUCUGGUUGCCAAUAAAGGCUGACAACACCCCCCCCCCCCCCCUUUCAAGUGACGGGCUGGGGCUUUGGGGAGGACAGCCACAAUCUGUGGGUGGCAGAGGGAGAGAAAGGAUGAAAAGAAGGACGGAGAAGGUCAUGGGGUCCAGGAGGAGGCCUGGGUGCCUGGGGCGUGAACAGCCUGGUGUGUGUGUGUGUGUGUGUGUGUGUGUGUGUAUGUGUCUGUGGUUCAGGUCCUUGUGCCCCUGGGGAGACGCUGUGAGUCUCUGUUUGAUUGUGAACAGCAGCUUGGUGCCUGGACAGAGCAUCUCCCCAGGUGGUGAAGAAAAGUGCCAGCUGCCUGCAAAUCUUGGCGAGCUCAGUGACACAGCGCCAGCCUGGAAGCCAGGGUUCCAGCCCCGGACCCAGACUCGCUGGACGGCCUUAGGUAAGCUGCCGCCUGUCUCUGGCUUGAGAAGCCUCGGUGGCAAGUAACAACCCUCCUGAGCACUUGCCGUGUUCAGGUAGAGGCACAGGGCAGAGUUUUCCAGGGCACUCUCUCUCUCUCUUUUUAAAAUGUUUUUUAACAGUUAUUUAUUUUUGAGAGACAGAGCAUGAACGGGGGAGGGUCCGAGAGAGAGGGAGACACAGAAUCUGAAGUGGGCUCCAGGCUCCGAGCCGUCAGCACAGAGCCCGACGUGGGGCUCGAACCCACGAACCGUGAGAUCGUGACCCGAGCCCAAGUCGGACGCUCAACCGACUGAGCCACCCAGGUGCCCCCCACCCCGGCACGUUCUUUUAUCUAUUCCUUUUCACAGAUGUGGAAAUGGACACACGUGAGAUUGCAGCCCGGGGAGGGGGCCUGGGGACACCAAGACCCAGAGGCCCCGCACUGGGGGCCGAGGGUCCAACCAUGGGGCAUGUGAUUCAGAUCUCGGAGGUUCUGGCGUGGCCCUGUGGCCCUCCCUCCCCCUCACUUGGGUGUUAGGCAGGCCUGACUUGAUCUCUAAGGUUCUUGGUGUUCCAGGAUGCUAAGACUUGGUGUCUGAAACAUACAGUCCACAACAAUAAAUGUCACAGGAGGAAGGAUGUGACCAGGCUGCAGAGGGAAGAGACCCAACACAUUCUGAGCCAAAUCCCUCCCCUCUCCCCCUCUCCCCUCCUCCUUCCCCUCCUCUCCCUUCUCAAUCUCUCUCUCUCUCUCUCUCUCUCUGCCCCAAGAGCUGAUUCACCCUGGGAGUGUCUCAGAACCUGCACCCGUGCUGUCUUCUGAUGGCAGAGGCCACCAGCUGCUAACCAGGGCUCAGCCAUGCUUCGUGGUAGAGUCUCCACUCCCCGAAAAGCCCGGGGAUCGGUGGCCACAUGAGGCACUUUCAAUGUUGCUUUAACAUGCCCUCUUUGUGUCUUCCUCUCGUCUGUCCCUGGCCAGCCUGACUCAGCCACGGGAGGAGGUGGAGGAGCCUGGAGGCAGCCAGGGCCAGGAAGGAGAAGUCCAGCUCGGUGACAUUAACAGGGAGAUGGGACCGCCCGGCGUUUCCGUUUCUGGACACAGGCACGGUCGUAAAACUGAGCACAGUCAGACCCCGUGCUGUCCCUGGCAGUCCCACCCCGGCCUGCUGCAUGAGCUGUUUCCUACCUCAGGACCUUUGGCCAGGUCAUUCCACUGCCCGGAAACCUCCCUGCCC